ACACAUGCAAGUCGAACGGUAACAGGUCUUCGGAUGCUGACGAGUGGCGAACGGGUGAGUAAUACAUCGGAACGUGCCUAGUAGUGGGGGAUAACUACUCGAAAGAGUAGCUAAUACCGCAUGAGAUCUACGGAUGAAAGCAGGGGAUCGCAAGACCUUGUGCUACUAGAGCGGCUGAUGGCAGAUUAGGUAGUUGGUGGGAUAAAAGCUUACCAAGCCGACGAUCUGUAGCUGGUCUGAGAGGACGAUCAGCCACACUGGGACUGAGACACGGCCCAGACUCCUACGGGAGGCAGCAGUGGGGAAUUUUGGACAAUGGGCGAAAGCCUGAUCCAGCAAUGCCGCGUGCAGGAUGAAGGCCUUCGGGUUGUAAACUGCUUUUGUACGGAACGAAAAGCUUUGGGUUAAUACCCUGGAGUCAUGACGGUACCGUAAGAAUAAGCACCGGCUAACUACGUGCCAGCAGCCGCGGUAAUACGUAGGGUGCAAGCGUUAAUCGGAAUUACUGGGCGUAAAGCGUGCGCAGGCGGUUUUGUAAGACAGAGGUGAAAUCCCCGGGCUCAACCUGGGAACUGCCUUUGUGACUGCAAGGCUAGAGUACGGCAGAGGGGGGUGGAAUUCCGCGUGUAGCAGUGAAAUGCGUAGAUAUGCGGAGGAACACCGAUGGCGAAGGCAACCCCCUGGGCCUGUACUGACGCUCAUGC
rnacentral:rRNA from 1 species